UCAGUAACACGUAGUCAACAUGCCCAGAGGACGUGGAUAACCUCGGGAAGCUGAGGAUAAACCGCGAUAGGUCAUAAUAUCUGGAAUGAUUUAUGGUUUAAAUCUAUAUGGCCUCUGGAUUGGACUGCGGCCGAUCAGGCUGUUGGUGAGGUAAUGGCCCACCAAACCUGAAACCGGUACGGGCUCUGAGAGGAGAAGCCCGGAGAUGGGCACUGAGACAAGGGCCCAGGCCCUAUGGGGCGCAAGAGGCGCGAAAACUCUGCAAUAAGCGAAAGCUUGACAGGGUUACUCUGAGUUGACUUUCGUUAAGGAAAGGUCUUUUUGAACCUCUAAAAAAUGGGUGUAGAAAUAAGGGGUGGGCAA
rnacentral:rRNA from 1 species